CAUCAGUGUCUGGGGAGCUAGGGGGCCGAGUGGGUACAAGGAUGGUGAGGGCCCAGCGGGGGCAUAGCAGACAGCGCAGGAGGGCCUCCAGAGGCCGGAGCAGAGUGCCCCCCAGCCGCCGGAACAAGAAAAAUCGCAGAUUUUCCAACGUGCCACUGGGCAAGAGAAAAGGAUAUAUACGUGUCUGUGCCACCUACUACUACCGGAAAAAGAGAUGAACGCCGCUGACUGCCUUUCUAUCACCAUGCUCCGCUGGGAAAAACAAAGCCAAUCCUCACAGCAUCGUAAGAACAGGACCAGUCGCAACAUCAAGAUCAGCAUCUCCUGCAGCCCCUCACCUAUCCACUCGGCCUCAGCAAAGAAAACCUCCCAAUAAACUCCCUAAGAUGCA